UUUAACAUGGUGAUGUUGUUAGUAAAUAAAGCGGCUUUUGUGAACGUGUGUGAAACGUUCCCCGAAGUGUGUCGUUUCGAAUUUCGCGAGGUAUGCAAGUCCAGCUGAUACCCUGUUUGCAGUUUUGUUAGCAAGAUAUGCUAGUACAGCUGGAAAAACCAAGAACUCUAACCAAGAAUUACCUUAGAUUUUCCAUUUCUUCAAAGACUGCCUGAAGGUACUUUAGGACAUGCUAUUUGAGUUUUCAAAAAGACAAUGCAAGUAUACACAAUAGCUUUAAUUAUACUCUGAACUUAAGAAGGCUUGCACAAUUCAUUGAUGAUGCAGAACUUGCACAAUGAUAUCGAGAAGUGCAUAAUUUACAGCACACUGUUCUUGGCAUGGCAACAAAUAUGUUAGGUGAAGUUACUGUAAAAUAGUUGAAGCAAUAUAAAAGGGCAUCGCUAUGUGUACUGCUGCUGUCAUUUUUGGAGCAUCACAAUUCAAAACUCAAAAUUUCCAGAAAUACUUGAAACAUCCAUGGGCCACUGAAUGUGGGUUUAAAGCAAAGUUUCUGAUGGAUAUGCAUUUGAAAAGAGAUGGGAACAGAAUAUAAAUGAUAUCAGGGAAGUAUUGAAUAUGCCACCACUGACAGUGAGCGAUUAAAAAUAUUUAUAAAAAGUUUAAAGUAUUUAUUUAGAUUAUGUUGUAACUUUUUAUCUCUCUCUGCAUGGAGUUUUAUUGAAGAAUAACUGAUGUUAUGUAAAAGGCUAAUUUUUAAAUAAAAUAAAUGAAAAAAAUUA